UACGUAGGGUGCAAGCGUUAAUCGGAAUUACUGGGCGUAAAGCGUGCGCAGGCGGUUUUGCAAGUCUGUCGUGAAAUCCCCGGGCUCAACCUGGGAAUUGCGAUGGAGACUGCAAGGCUAGAAUCUGGCAGAGGGGGGUAGAAUUCCACGUGUAGCAGUGAAAUGCGUAGAGAUGUGGAGGAACACCGAUGGCGAAGGCGGCCCCCUGGGUCAAGAUUGACGCUCAUGCGCGAAAGCGUGGGGAGCAAACAGG
rnacentral:rRNA from 1 species